rnacentral:lncRNA from 1 species
UUUUUUUGUUUUUUUUUUUUUUUUUUUUUUUGUUUUUUUUUUUUUGUUUGUUUGCUUUUUUUGGUUUUGUUUAAUUGUUUGUGGGGUGAGGGCNNNNNNNNNNNNNNNNNNNNNNNNNNNNNNNNNNNNNNNNNNNNNNNNNNNNNNNNNNNNNNNNNNNNNNNNNNNNNNNNNNNNNNNNNNNNNNNNNNNNNNNNNNNNNNNNNNNNNNNNNNNNNNNNNNNNNNNNNNNNNNNNNNNNNNNNNNNNNNNNNNNNNNNNNNNNNNNNNNNNNNNNNNNNNNNNNNNNNNNNNNNNNNNNNNNNNNNNNNNNNNNNNNNNNNNNNNNNNNNNNNNNNNNNNNNNNNNNNNNNNNNNNNNNNNNNNNNNNNNNNNNNNNNNNNNNNNNNNNNNNNNNNNNNNNNNNNNNNNNNNNNNNNNNNNNNNNNNNNNNNNNNNNNNNNNNNNNAUUAGUUGAUUGAUUAUAAACACUUAUAUUUCUUUUGAUUUAUUAAGAUUGAACCUUAUAAUUAUAUUAAAAAAAAAUCAUAUGUGCCUGGCCAAGUCAGGUAAGAUGGUAUUCAUAGAGCUCAUAUUAUCCAUCAAACUACAGUCUAAUAAAUUAUAUUUGGAAUUUGAAGUAACAUAUAACGACGAUUGGUGGAUUCAUAACGGUUCAAAUUUACAUAAUUUCUGAGAUAAUUAAGCGUAUUUAAGAAGAAAAAAAGUAUAAAAAGCAUGAAAUAUAUAAGGAUUUCAUAUAAUCCCUUACAAGGAAUUUAUAUAAAAAAAUUUCCCUUAAAACUCGGGGAAUGGUUGGGACAUAGUUCGAGCAAGUUUUGGUCUAUCUUUUCCAUUGAUUUUUCAUACUCAACUAUUUAUUCAAUACAUCAACUAAACCAUAGAUUAAAUACGAACGAUGUCCAUGAUAUAAAAGAGAUACCAAACAAAAAUUAGAUGAAAACACGCGAAAUACUCACAUUGGUGUGGUGGAAAAGGGCUGGAUCCUGUUGGAGCCAUAGCCAUUUUCUUCAUCGACAUCAUGAAUGUCAACUCCCCCUCCCCCUCCAGCAGCCAUGGUGAGCUUCUUGAUUUAUCGUUGCCUUCCAAUUUGGUUGCCUUUCUAUUUAUAGAACAAAGUCAAUGAAAACAUCCAUCCUUUGCACACACACAAAAAUAGUUGAUGGUGAUGUAUCUUGGGAAAGGAUUAUCUUGCAUUUAUGAUUUUUACAAGAGAUAUUUCUUAUAUUUUUCUUUAUUUAUUUUAAUCACAUGGGAUUCAUUAUAGUCGCACCUUAUAAUUAGAUUUUUAGUGGGGAUUUAUUUAUAUACCUAUUUUAUUUAUUGUCUAUAUAUGGCCAUCAUUUUUUGACUUGGAAUUACGAUACACCUCUCAUCAUUUCCCCAACUCCCAUUAAUAAAUUACAUGUAUGGAAAUUGGGCUUCUUUUUUUUAUAUAGUUAUGCAUUUAUGGCCAAUAUGAAUAUAAUGCACCAAUACAAAAAUACAGAAAAUAGAAAUUUAAAGUCAACUUUGCGUGUUCAUUGAUUUUGGAUAUGAUCCAUUUCUCAUAAAUGCUACUGCAAUAUGAGACAAGGCUCAAAUUCAUGUGAUCCGAUUUGAGUCGGUAAAAGCAAUUGGUUGAAAGUAAGAGUUUAGAUAUUCUAAUUUUGAGUUCGACUUUCGAUAUCAAAACGGCUCAUUGUCGAGGAGAGGGGUAUAGCUAAGUGAUUCGUGCCGUGGUCCUCGGCCUGAGGCAACCAUCUUUGCUCAAAUGUGGAAAUUGGUAUAAAUGUAUAUAGCUGACCGCAUAAAUAUAGCGCAAGGUCACUGCAUCUUUGGCUGGACAACUAACCCCCCACCGCACUACUGUGAAGUUAACCAGUAAUCGCAUCACGGCUAUGUGGCGUGGUUAGUGAUUAAUCGCAUAACCAAACUACUAAGAUAAACUCGUCAAUAUGUCGACUUUGAAAUUCUAUUGAUCAAGAUUUCACUUGUUGUAGGAUGAAUGAGUUCGACUGUACAAAAGUUAGUCCGUCAGAACUCAGAUUACUGUUUAACGAAUUUUCCAACGAAGGACGUAGGGAUUUGAGUCCACUUUGGUUGUGCAUUAAUAUCGGAUAUACACAAACACCUCCCCAUCAUUUUGCAUGCAGCCGUGGACCACGAAAUCAACGUCCUCCCCUGUUUUAGAAGCUGACUUUUUAGGGUUACGACAGACUAAUAAUGAGUGUAUAUUCAAGCAAAGUAGACAAAUUUUUCUUGUAGUUGCAGCUCCCAACCAUAUUCGUUAAAGCUUUGGCGGCUAUCGUGGACCUUUCUACUCCCUGCUUAUCCGUCUUGAUCCAAUCAACGCCGUUAAUACUCGCAUUAACUGGGCUACGAGACUGGAAUGAGGAAUACCGGUCAGGCUACGAGACUGGAAUGAGGAAUACCGGCCGGGCUACGAGACUGGAAUGCAGAAUACCGGCCGGGCUACGAGACUGGAAUGCAGAAUACCAGCAAAGUAACUUACGAGUGUCUUUCCGAACUUCAAAAUCUGAUGUCACAUAAUUGGGAUAUUCCAAGGAUUCUGUCAUCAAACGUUAAGAGAACGAAAAGGAAACACGGUAGAUUCAUAGCCGACUCGAAGCAUUCAACCAAUCGACAGAACAUCAUGGAGCUUUUCCGAUGCAUUGAACUUAGAACACAGAAUGUAUGGAGCUUUUCAAGGAGGUUGCAUUGCUACCAGAAUAAGUUAAUUCUCCCAACAUGACGAUUAUGUUCAGUAAAGUUCAUAGUCAAAAGUACUUAGCAAUGUUAAUUUACAAAAAAACAAAGCAUCCCACUUUUUACUUCUAAGUUUGAGGCAUACAGAACCGCAGCAGCUAGAAUCCGCGCAGCAUCAGGAUUUGGCGGCAGUUGCACAUAAGUUAAGUGCGAAGGACCAAGGCCAGCAUCGACACCAACCACCGUUACGCAAAAUCAUCUCCUUAUACAACUCCGGAAGGAAGGCGUAGAACGAGCUGCCCGCCGAACACACUGCAAAAUUGGGAGCACAGAAUCAGACCGAAUCGAGUAGAACUCGGUAGUGUUGGGAUGUGGGUAUCCACCGCACCAUGAGUUCGAACUAUGUACUCAAGGAGAACAUUUCAGAUGUAACGAACCUUUUCACGUAGUAGUAACAGAAAUCUGCAAGGAUGAAAGUCUGCACGAUUUCCGAGAUGAGAACCAUAGACGGCCACAAUCCGUAUCCCAAGGCGACUAGCAAGUGGCCGCGACUAUCUAGAACCUGUUGGAGAAAAGGAAGUGACAAUGCGUUAAACUCGAAUGUGAAAUUACUAGUCGGCCUUCUGAGCUAGGAGCCUGAUAAAAUAUAUUCAGAUCAAUCAACUGAAAAGGAAGAUAGCAGAGUAAAUACCAUUUGGAGAAAAACAUCGGCUAGAAACGCAUGAAUUCUUGACAAGCAAAUACAAAUGAGGUUAAUGAAUUAAGUCUUUUGAGAGAAAGGACAGAUCUUGAAGAAUUUUCAAGUUCAUGCCGAUGAAACGGGGAAAAAUAAGCAUGACUCAAUUAUACAUCAUGACCCGGGUCUGCUAUCAGUUCAUGCUGUUACUAGUCAAGAACAGCAAAAAUACGACAUUCGGAUAAAGUAGCAUGAAACAACCUGGGAAUUCACUUACAUAACUGACAUGAUGACACAAUUAGAGGUAAAAAACCGAAAAAUAACUGUGUUGAGGUAAAAAAGGUGGAUUUGGAUCAAAGUAGUACCUGGAGAACCCAGUGAGCACAGCUCAGAAACCUUGCUAUUCCCAGUGCAAAGACAUAAUGAGCGGUGAAUGGUUCAACAAUCUGAAGAUAAAAACAAAAAGAGUAAGAUUUUAACACUAGCAACACUUUAAAAAGAUCAGUAACAACCAAUCAAAGAUAAACCUUGGUGUUCUGCAUCACUCGCAACUGAGGAAGCACAGAAACAGACUCCAGGUAUACACAGAAACCCCAGAAGAUCCUAUUCACCAGAUUAUGGGAUGUUGAUGGAUGGAUGAGCACGGCUAAAACAGCACAAGGUACCAACUGAUGGAACCCAAAAAAAAAAGAAGACAAAACAAUAUAGAAAAUUAGAUACAAGAUCGACCUAACAGCAGUGUGACUGUAAAGGGAAAAGGAUAAUUUUCUACAAAGCGUGUACUGACCACAUAAUAAAGUGCAAAGUUGUCCUUGUCCUCCAUAUAGCUAGAUUUCAGCUUGAAGCGAAUCAUAUAAAUAACCCACAGUGUAGUUCCUAGCGUAGCUAAAUCAAGUAGAGUAUGUAUAUCAUACUCCAUCACAAAGCUACAGUAAAGUCUAACUGCUAGAAAUAUAGCAGUCAAUUCUUGUGAUUUUAGUGAUAUGCCUGCAAAACACAUGAAUCAUAGUAAAAAGGACAGUGUAAGUUAAGGCUGGCACGAAUAAUUGGCAGUGAAAGGUGGAAAUCUUCAAGAUUUAGACUACCGACAACCCCCCCCCCCGCGCCACCCCCCACCCCCAAAAAACUCAUUUCUUUAUACCGUUACUUGCUUACAUAUAAGAAACGAUAGAAAACCCUUCAAUGAACAGUCAUAGAACUUGGAACCUCAGAACAUGACAUCAGAAGGCAGAUAAAACCUCAUUAAACUAGAAAGAUGUCACAACCAAGAGUAGACGAGAACCAAUGCCCACCAAUGAGAGUAGUCUCCCCAUUGCCCAGACACCUUUCCAUCAGAUAUAGUUUGUGAACAAGGCUAAUUCAUUGUUCAUGCUAGUCAGACUAGAAAUCUAAAAACUUUUAAACUCAGACUUGCCACACAACACAAAGCUCUCACCAAAUCCAUAGACUAAAAUUUCUAAUCAAUGAGCCAAGAUAAAUACUUUUUACCAAAUUGGUUUCUACCCUAAUCCAAAUACGCAAUGUACCUUUCACAACUUUCCACAGAUAUCAUCAACAGACCAAACAUUCAACAGAGAGACCUAGGAUCCUACUAGCUUCGAUCCUUAGAUAACUAAAUCUCAACCCUUCUCCUCAAAUCAAUAUGAAAAAACAAUGAAACCAAUCUCCCUACAACAGCAUCUCAAAAUGCAAAAAAAAAUCACCUUUAUCCAGAAAAAAAACCCUAGAAACCAAAAAUAGAGGGGAAACAAAAGUGAUACCGGCACAAGUCUUCUCCUUCAUGAGCUUGUAUAUGAGAACCAUGAUUCCAAUCGAGUGUACGGCCUCCGCGGCGACGAAGAGGUUGUCGUGGUCGUUGACGAUGAAGCGGAGGAGGACCAGAGCCGCCAUCCCGGCUACGACAGCGAGAAACCCCUUGACCUUGGGCGGCUGCCGCCGCACCCACGUCGUCACCAUGUGGAUCGGUCUCUUCGGCGGCCUCAUGGAAAUUUUUCUUCCGGAUCGAAUUUGAAAGCUUGAGCUCGUUGGAAGGGGCGGAAUUAGGGAUUUUGGUUUUGCUCUGGAAAUUUAGGAUUCGUCCUUGAAGAAUUUUGGAGGGUUUCGUUUCUUAUUUAUUUUUUUCGUUGUUUGCCCUUUUGGAGUUUGAAUAGGAUAUGUAUACCUAUUAAACCCAAUGUAAUCGAAACCGAACUGGAUUGAUCGCAAACCGGCUAUCAUGCUGGUUCGAUUAAAUUAUGAUAUAGUAAUAAUUUAAAGUUUAAACAUCAUUUAACUUUGAUUUAAAUAAUUAAGUCGUAAUUCUCGACUCUCUUGGUUUCGAAUUUUGGUAUUGAUAUGGAAGAAGUUUAUGGAUUUAUCGACAUUUAUUUUGUGGAAUUUUGGUAAUUUGAUAGGAUAGUGUUAGCUUGUUAGGUAAAGGUAGGAAUGAUUGGUGGGUUGAUGGAAAACAAGUGACCAAAUAAUACACAAAUCACAAUGUUAACAACUUCAAUAGAACAUAAGUACAAGAAUAUUAUGACAAUUUUAUUGAUAACUUUUGACGGGAUUUGAUAUCUAUAUCGAGUUUGAAACGACAUCUUAGAUUGCAAAUUGAUUUUGGAUUAGUUUAUUUUUUAAUUAUUGUGUCCGAGAGUUCAAAUUUAUUUAUAUAAGAAUGGAUAGAGAAACAUUUUGUCAUAAUUAAAAGACAAAGUAAAUUCUCCAACNNNNNNNNNNNNNNNNNNNNNNNNNNNNNNNNNNNNNNNNNNNNNNNCCACAAUUUCUAACCUCCUCCAUCCCAUCAAUUGAUUAGCAAUUUGUAGUAAUCAUUUCUACAAACAAACACAAUAAAAAUGAACUAAUCAAAAUCAUUAAAUAUUAUUUAUCUUCAAUUUAUUUUCUAUUCAUAAAUGUAUUUCUUAAAAAUUGUAGCAACUUGUUUAUGUAGCAUUGCUAAUUGACUUGUUAAAUUAGCAAGCUUACUAAUUUAAAAAACACAUCUACAUCCUUAACAAUUACUAAAAAAAGGUCACAUCACAUCCACAUUACUUAACAAUCGUUAAAAUAAUAGGGAUGAAAACCUAUUAUUUUCAUAGGAUGAAGCCACUUGUAAAAUCAGAGGCAUAGGUGUAAUGUAAUCACAACCAUCAUAAACAGAGGUCCACCAACUACUCAAAGCUUUUCAACAACAAACUUCAUCCACAAAAGUCAAAGAUACACACCUUCAUAAGAGAAGUACAAGUACACCUAACCCAAAUAAAGAGCUUUGUCGAAUCGGUUAGUUGGGCGUAGAGAUAUCACUAAUAUGUACAAUCUUUAGGGUUACGGUUUGUCAAUAUGCAAAACCCAUGUUGGAAGGUGAAUUAACUAAAAAGAACAUCUUGUUUAAAGCGGAUGCGCAAGUGGUCGUCAACAUAAUUAGGAGAAAUGAGGAGGUCGUUUGAUUUUUGUAUUUGGAGAGGAAUUUGGAAAGAAAGUAAUAGGGCCAAAUGAUUUGAACAAAAUCUUUUAUUUGAUUUUUAAAAAUGAUGGAGAUUUAAGAUCACCAUAUGUAGUCCCAUGGUGAUUUAGAGAGUAAUUUAAAAUUACCAUGAACUUGGUGUGAUUUGAAGAUUUCAAGUGUGAUUUGUACACAAAAUAACAUAUUAACCAAAUUAAAACACACUAAUUACAGCAAUACCACUAAAAGUAUGAAGAAUUGAGAAGACUAAUUUUAGAACUAGAGGGCAAUCUAGUUUUUUUAAAAUAAGUUAAUUUAACUAUUGGUGUUUAAAAUGUUAGAAUCACUCUCAAUUUUAGAAAACAAACAAGAUAUUUAUGAAAUCACUAGCUGUUUGAAAUCACUAGUGAUUUCAAAUCACCUUCCAAAUCUCAAAUUCAAACGACCUCGAGGUGAUGGAUCGAAUGGAUUUUGGCGAUAUUGUACGAGAAUGUAAGACCCUUUGUUUAUCUGAACCGAUUUUAUGAUUAACUUUGUGAGGAAGGAUAGUAACAAGGUUGCGGACGUGCUUGUACAACAAUCUUAGUUAGCAGGGUCACCCACUGUUGGGGAGAUUCCUCCACACUUUCUACUUAAUUUCUUGAACGAUGUUUUGAAUGAGCUAUACGAUUAAUAUAUGAGAUCACCUUUUGUUUAAGAAAAAAACUAAAAAAAACAUAUUCAACUACAUAAUAAGAUGAAUCAGACGACCGGAGUUACAAAACCUAGGAGUCGGGCUAAUCAGAUGUUCAUAACUCAUAAGCUUCAAAUAUGCCAUAAGAUCCGAUCUCCUCAAAUUACAAGGUAAAUAUAUUUCACCUUUAAAGUUUCCAAAAUCCAUGAAAUCUCCUCCUCAUGCGUUCUUAGGGUUAGAGUUCAACGAUCCAAGAAAUGAGAUCUAUGCAACUAGAAGGUGAGUUGAUGUGUUGGCAGGAGGUUCCAAAAUCCACAGAAGCCUUCUCGAUUGGUCAUGACUCAACCUGAAAACCAACCGAACUACUCUGAACAAACAUGAUAAGAAACCAAUCCAAAGCAUAACUUAUUGUGUCCAUUUCACACACACAAGAAUUCCUUAGUGACGAUAAAGAGGAGGCAAAGUCUAGAUAGCCAACAGAUGACUCCCUCUGGAAAACCUUGUAGAUUUAUUCAAACAUCAACAAAAUAGAUAUAAGGCUUUGGUUGAUGGGUGCAAAACUACAGAUACAAAAAGAAAUGGUGUUCUCCAAAUGUGUCAUCAAAGAUGAGGUUUAAUGGAGGCUGACAGAUCUUCUCAU